UUAGAAUUAACAGUUCCCUCUUGACAACUAUGCUUGCCACCCAUACUAAAGAGGGUGGCAAAAUGGGCGGCGAAACUUUUAAAGUCUUGAAUAAAUCCAUCCCUUUUAAAUAAAACUCCAUAGUAAGACAUCCAGCAGCAGGGCCGGCAGAAGCAAGCUGGCACCUCCGCUCCCGGCCAGGCCGCCUUUGUUCGCUGGUGCCAGCCGCUGCAGCAUCCACGGGAGCGCGGAACCCCCGGGCAGCAGUGAUACAUGCAAGAGAAACUAAGCUCAAACAAAGGAGGAAACUGAAAAACACCCGAGAAGGAUAUUAAUCAGACAAGACAUGAGUAACCUGAAGAGCACUCUUCAUACUGACAAAGUGGAAAUGGCAUCUAUCCAAACACACUGGCUCAAUGAGCCUUGGUUUUGAUGACCUUAUGCCUUGUUGACCUUCUGGUUUAACUGUGGAGAAUGAAGUAACUGGAAAAUCACUUAGAUUUUCUGACUGCUUAUGACUCAGUACACUUAUGACGAAGGUGCUCACUAGUCAAGACAUCCUCUCAGAUAAAAUAUUUGUUGAUCAAUAUAAUCUGCAGAGAUAUAAGACCUUACCUGUAACCUCUUCAGUUUGAAAGUGAAGAAGCAGAUUACCACACCCAAGCUGCAAGUCUGUAGAUGGUACUGAAAAUCACAUUUUUCAAGAUGGAAAUGAACUACAGAACUGUGAUACUGUCUGGGAAAAAGAACAUAAUCUUCUGUGGUAUAAAGAAUUUGGUUGGCAUAUUUUGUAAUCUUUUGUGGAAUAUCUAACAUUACAAUACAAUGUCAAGAAGUGGUAGAACAGCUGUCAGGGCAAGAAUAUAUCUGUAAACAAACAAAAAAAUUGGUGGAUAUCUAGUGAACAGAGUUAUGUGUAUUGCAGCUGUACCAUCUUCCUGUUAUGAAAAACAAUCUCAAUAAACAGUAUUUUGUUAGAAUUAAACAUUCUUAUUAUCUUUACCUACUAUUUUAUGUUAGGAAUUGGAACUUUAUUUUUAAAAUCCCAAUAUAGGGAAGAAAUAACAGUAAUGAGGUUAGAUUUGUUAAUUUCUUAUAAAUGAUGAACAGGAUCCCGUAUGCAUUUGAAAUAGAACUGAUUGAAAUUCAUUCUGGUUUUCUCCCAUUAAUCUUAAUUGUAAUUCUGUAUUUCACUUUAAUAGGUUGCUAGAUUUUAGGAAGCUGUGUUAUUGUUCUUACGUACUUGAUUGGUUUUUAAUUGAUGAAAUUUUUCUGAGUUCUGCAUGUGGAAAGGAAUGUGAACACUGCCAUUUUCUAUAUGGGUCUUUAUAGGUCAAGCAGGAUUGCUAUGAUUCAAAGUAAGCAGGGACAAUGCAGAAAGUUCUGCUAAAGACCAGACUUCUGUACCUGGGAUAAAUUUGAUGGAAGGCUUUCUUUUUUUUUUUUGUAGUAAAAAUUUUAAAACAAAAAUAGAUUUUCUUUCCACAAUGAACAGGGUACUUGUAAAACAAACUGACCAUAUGGCACAUGCAUUGCUUCAGAAAACUGUGCUCAUGUUUUUAAUGUCCAGAAAGAAGACUGGCUUUUGUAAUGCAGAACUGGAAGGACAAAAAUCUCACCCUUUCUGCUUUCACUGACUUCAAGGAGAAUCAAGUGUUCUCCACACCUUUCAGGAUUGAAUCCUUUGUAAACUUGCUCAUGAUUAAUAUAUGUUAUGAAUAUCUAUUAAAUGUUACAGUAGGUUGAUAACACCCAGCCAUAUCACUCAUUUAUUAAAAGAAACUGUUCAGUCAAAGUCUGGAUAGGGAGGUGAGAGAGCAACUCAGCUGUACUUAGAUUGAUGAUACUUCUAAAAAUUGUCCAAGCAUGUGUGGAAGAACCUGUCAAAGUAAGAGUUUAAUAAAUGAGAAAGUGAAGGACAGGUAACUUUCCCAAUAUACAAAAGUUGUGCACAUGCAUGUGCAUGCUUCAUUUAUUCCCUGCUCCCUAGCAGGUAAACAACACAGAAAGAAAGUCUGUUUGCCAUUUUUGAGCUAGAUUGUCUGGAAAAGAAUUUUGCCAAGUCAGUUAUUACUGGGGCUACAGCAGCAUGCUGCAUGGCAUCACUGAAGGCUGCUUUUGCAUCAGCAGAUUUCCACCAAACUCAGCGUAGUGGUUCUUGCCUGUUGCUCCAAGAAACUGCUCUGGUCUUCUGGGCAUCAUCAGCCACAGCAGGAUUUGCCCCUGGGAGGGGAGGGCAAGAAAGCAGGGAGAGAUACAGACCAGAGCCUGGGGAGCAACUGAGCCUGUGGAGUUGCUUGCUCCAGGCAGCCUCACUCUUCCUCCACAGUGACAAUAGCAGUCCUAAUGUUAUAGGAAAUUUACACUUUUCAGGAUCUGUUGCCCAAGUUAAUUGAUAAUUUUGCCCUUUUUUUUUGGGUGCUGUCCCUGUAUACACCAGAACUGGUAAGGUACCAUAGCACUAUAAAAUUCUCAAAGGCAACAAGAUAUGCUAUCUGUCAAAAGAUUUUCCUCCCUACUGAUAGUUUGGAGUUGUUUGUAGUGAAUAUCUGGUAAACUAGAAGCGUAAUACAUUUUGAAAAAGAAUGUGCCUAAUAGAGGGAUUGAAAACUGCUUUUAGCUACUUGCCUGAUGUGGAACCAUCAUCUUAACUCCAGGUUUCGAUUGUGUAAGUCUCUGAGAACAAAGUAUAAAGGACUUGAAAAUAGCACUCCAGCUGAAAAAGACUGUUGGCUGAGAAGCUCUUAGUGCCUGAGUACUCCAUAAAGAGUCUUUCCUGUUCAGUCAUCUGCUUUCAUUUCUCCCUCAUAGCUAUAGAAGCCAUUCCCUUUGUAAUUACGAAAAAAGGGCUUGACGCAGCCCACAUUUCUAAUAAACUGCUACAAUGCUUCUU